CCUCCCAGGUUCAAGCAAUUCUAUAGCCUCAGCCUUCUCAGUAGCUGGGACUACAGGCAUGCGUCGCCACACCCAGUUAAUUUUUGUUUUGUUUUGUUUUGUUUUGUUUGUAGAGACAGAGUUCCACCAUGUUGCCUAGGCUGGUCUCAGACUCCUGAGCUCAAAGUGAUCUGCCCGUCUCGGCCUCCUGAAGUGUUGAGAUUACAAGUGUGAGCCACUGUGCCUGGCCCCGGCUCCUUUUUUUCAACUGUUUGGUAGAAUUCACCAGUGAAGCCAUCAGACAGGAUUGCCCUAUGUCGUCCAUGCUGGUCUGGAACUCCUGGGCUCAAGAGAUCCUCUCACCUUGGCCUCCCAAAGUGCUGAGAUUACAGAGCUAGAGUCUCAUGAUGUCGUCCAGGCUGGUAUCGAACUCGGCUUCAAGCAGUCCUCUCACCUCAGCCUCUCGAGUAGCUGGAAUUACAGUUGAGAGCCACUGCAUCCAGCUUUGCUCUUUCUUUGAAAGGUACCAUCAUCUAGCUGCCUGGUUGUUCAAGCAAAAACGCUGGUCAUUGUUACUAUUCCUUUUCUGCACACUGCCAAUCAAUCCUAGAAACUGCAGAUUCCACCCCCCAGUAUUUCUCAAACCCACCUCCGGUGACAAUACCCAUCAUCAUCUCUUGUAUUUUUCACUGAAAAAGCCUCUGACCUGAUCUCCCAUCUCCUUCCAAUUCUUUCUGCAUAUUUCAGCAAGAGUGAUCUUCCUAAAAUGCAGAUCUGAAUCACCCUCCUUAUUAAAACUUUUAAGUUUCUUUCCCUUUUUCUUAGGAUAAAUUCAGGGCCAGAUGUGAUGGUUCACACCUGUAAUCCCAACACUUUGGGAGGCUGAGGUGGGAGGAUUGCUUGAGGCCAGAAAUUUGAGACCAGCAUGGGCAACAUAGCAAGAUCCUGUAUCUACAAAAAAAAAAAAUUAAAAAAUUAACUGGGUAUGGUGGCAUGCGCCUGUAGUCCCAGCUACUGGGGAGGCUGAUGCAGGAGGAUCACUUCAGCCCAGGAGCUGGAAGCUGAAGUGAGUUAUGAUAGUGCCACUGCACUUCAGCCUAGUGUCAGAGACCCUGUCUUUAAAAAAAAAAAAAAAAAAAAUCCAGGUGUGGUGGCUUAUGCCUGUAAUCCCAGCGCUUUGAGAAGCCAAGGUGGGUGGAUCACCUGAGGUCAGGAAAAAUUAGCUGGGUGUGGUGGCACGUGCCUGUAGUCCCAGCUACUUGGGAGGCUGAGGGAGGAGAAUCGCUUGAACCUGGGAGGUGAGAUCUCGCCACUGCACUCCGGCCUGGGCGACAUAGCGAGACUCUGCCUCAAAUAAAUAAAUAAAUGAAAAUAUAAAUAAAUAAAUUAAUUAAAAAACAAAAACCUGACUGCUUUAACAUGGCUUAUCAAGCCCUCUGUGACUGGGCCCUUGUUCAUCUUUCCAGCAUCAGCGCUGUUACUUCCAUUCUAG
rnacentral:lncRNA from 10 species